UUCCCAUACCGAACACGGAAGUUAAGCUUCUCAGCGCCGAUGGUAGUUGGGGGUUCUCCCCCUGUGAGAGUAGGACGUCGCCAGGC
rnacentral:rRNA from 1 species